UAGUGAGUUUGAUCCUGGCUCAGAAUCAACGCUGGCGGCGUGCCUCAGACAUGCAAGUCGAACGAUUAAAGCCCUCUUCGGAGGGUGCAUAAAGUGGCGCACGGGUGAGUAACACGUAACUGACCUACCCCAAAGUCGCGGAUAACGGUUCGAAAGAAUCGCUAAUACGUGAUGUGCUGUCAGAUCUUGUUCUGCCAGUAAAGAUUUAUUGCUUUGGGGAUGGUGUUGCGUUCCAUCAGCUAGUUGGUAGGGUAAAGGCCUACCAAGGCGACGACGGAUAGCCGGCCUGAGAGGGUGGCCGGCCACA
rnacentral:rRNA from 1 species